rnacentral:rRNA from 1 species
CCUAAAUUUUGAAAGCACACUUGGUUUCCAGCGCGAAUUGGUAGAUUCAAGAAGCGUUUCUGGGACGACAUUGGGGCCAAGACGCUGAUUGGAACAGCAGCGCCGGAGAGGGUGAGAGCCCCGUUGGCCCGAUGUGGUUCCUGUAUGAUACGAUUUCAAAGAGCCGCAUAGGUUUGGGAAUGCUGGGCAAAGAGGGUGGGUAAAUAUCAUUUAAAGCGUAAAUAUUGGCGAGAGACCGAUAGCUGAACAAGUACCGUGAGGGAAAGAUGUAAAAGAACCUUUGAAAAGAGAGUUAAUAGUACGUGAAAUUGUCAAAAGGGAAACGCAUUGGAACCAGUAUUGGGCCUAGAUUAUCAGCCGCAAGGUGCACAUAGACAUACGACCGGGCUCAGCAUCAGGUUUGGUUCAGCAUCAAGAAGGGAUGCUUCGGUGUUAUAGCCGCUGGUCAUGCUCUGAACUGGACUGAGGUCUGCAUGCCGCCUUGGGGAAUAUGCCGCCUCGAAACACGCAUUGGAUGACAACUUGUUGCCUGCUGGUGUUGUGCUAAAAGCACGGAUAGUACCACUACCGGCUUAGGAUGUUGACGAAAUGGUUCUAAACGACCCGUCUUGAAACACGGACCAAGAGUCCAACACAAUGCGAGUGUUUGGGUGGCAAACCCGAAGCGCGUAAUAAAGUAAAUGUAGGUGAAUCCUUCGGGUGCAUCAUCGACCGGUCUGGUUCUUUUGAAAGAUCUGAGUAAGAAGCAUGUUUGUUGGGCCCGAAACAUGGUGAACUAUGCCUUAAUACGGGUAAGGUCAAACGGAAGCUCUAUGAAGCUCGAUGCGGUUCUNCGUGGGGGUCNUCNNCAAAUUUU